rnacentral:misc_RNA from 1 species
AGCAGCCGCGGUAAUUCCAGCUCCAAUAGCGUAUAUUAAAGUUGUUGCAGUUAAAAGCUCGUAGUUGAAUUUCGGGAUCAAUAUGUUGGUCGUGCCUCGGUACGUACUAGCAUAUUGGUUUCUCCUUUCUGAAGAACCAUGAUGUCAUUUAUUUGGUGUCGUGGGGAAUCAGGACUGUUACUUUGAAAAAAAUUAGGGUGUUUAAAGCAGGCUCACGCUUGAAUACAUUAGCAUGGAAUAAUGAAAUAGGACGUUUGAUUCUAUUUUGUUGGUUUCUAGGAUCGACGUAAUGAUUAAUAGGGAUAGUUGGGGGCAUUAGUAUUCAAUUGUCAGAGGUGAAAUUCUUGGAUUUAUUGAAGACUAACUACUGCGAAAGCAUUUGCCAAGGAUGUUUUCAUUAAUCAAGAACGAAAGUUAGGGGAUCGAAGACGAUCAGAUACCGUCGUAGUCUUAACCAUAAACUAUGCCGACUAGGGAUCGGAUGAUGUUAAUUUUUU